GGGUUGUAAACUGCUUUUAUGAGUGAAGAAUAUGACGGUAACUCAUGAAUAAGGGUCGGCUAACUACGUGCCAGCAGCCGCGGUCAUACGUAGGACCCAAGCGUUAUCCGGAUUUACUGGGCGUAAAGAGUUGCGUAGGUGGUCGGUAAAGCGAAUAGUGAAAUCUGGUGGCUCAACCACACAGGCUAUUAUUCGAACUCACCGACUCGAGAGUAGCAGAGGUAACUGGAAUUUCUUGUGUAGGAGUGAAAUCCGUAGAUAUAAGAAGGAACACCGAUGGCGUAGGCAGGUUACUGGGCUAUUUCUGACACUAAGGCACGAAAGCGUGGGGAGCGAACCGGAUUAGAUACCCGGGUAGUCCACGCUGUAAACUAUGGAUGCUAGCUGUUGGAGGUAUCGACCCCUUCAGUAGCGAAGCUAACGCGUUAAGCAUCCCGCCUGUGGAGUACGAGCGCAAGCUUAAAACAUAAAGGAAUUGACGGGGACCCGCACAAGCGGUGGAUCGUGUUCUUUAAUUCGAGGCUAAACGACAAACCUUACCAGGGCUUGACAUCCUAGGAAUUACUCCGAAAGGAGUGAGUGCCGCAAGGAAUCUAGUGACAGGUGUUGCAUGGCCGUCGUCAGCUCGUGUCGUGAGAUGUUUGGUUAAGUCCAUCAACGAGCGCAACCCUUGUGAAUAGUUGUAUUUUUCUAUUCAGACUGCCCCGGCAACGGGGAGGAAGGAGGGGAUGAUGUCAGGUCAGUAUUACCCUUACGUCCUGGGCUAGAAACACGAUACAAUGGCUAGUACAAUGCGCCGCGAAGCCGCGAGGUGGAGCAAAUCGCAUCAAAGCUAGUCUCAGUUCGGAUUGGAGGCUGAAACUCGCCUCCAUGAAGUCGGAAUCG
rnacentral:rRNA from 1 species